AUUGAACGCUGGCGGCAGGCCUAACACAUGCAAGUCGAGCGGAUGGACAGACGGGUGAGUAAUGCCUAGGAAUCUGACUGGUCGUGGGGGAUGACGUUCGGUACAGGACGCUAAUACUGCAUACUCUCUGAUGAGCCUAUGUCGGAUUAGCUAGUUGGUGGGGUAAAGGCCGACCAAGGCGACGAUCCGUAACUGGUCUGAGAGGAUGAUCAGUCACACUGGAACUGAGACACGGUCCAGACUCCUACGGGAGGCAGCAGUGGGGAAUAUGGGACAAUGGGCGAAAGCCUGAUCCAGCCAUGCCGCGUGUGUGAAGAAGGUCUUCGGAUUGUAAAGCACUUUAAGUUGGGAGGCGUUACCAACAGAAUAAGCACCGGCUAACUGCGUGCCAGCAGCCGCGGUAAUUC
rnacentral:rRNA from 1 species